UACAGAGGUCUCAACCGUUGUUCGGAUUCAUUGGGCGUAAAGGGUGCGUAGGUGGUUCGGUAAGUCGGAUGUGAAAUCUCCAGGCUCAACCUGGAGGGGUCAUUCGAUACUGCCGUGACUAGAGUUCGGUAGGGGAGUGUGGAAUUCCUGGUGGAGCGGUGAAAUGCGCAGAUAUCAGGAGGAACACCCGUAGCGAAGGCGGCACUCUGGGCCGAUACUGACGCUGAGGAGCGAAAGCGUGGGGAGCGAACAGG
rnacentral:rRNA from 1 species